CGCCGGACAGGUUGUAGUUCUGCAGCACGUCGUUGGUGCCGAUGUGCAGCAGCACGGUGUGCGGGGUCGUCGUCUGGAGCC
rnacentral:tRNA from 1 species